CCCUUAGAUGUCCGGGGCCGCACGCGCGCUACACUGAUGCAUUCAACGAGCCUAUCCUUGACCGACAGGUCCGGGUAAUCUUUGAAUCUGCAUCGUGACGGGGAUAGAUUAUUGCAAUUAUUAAUCUUCAACGAGGAAUGCCUAGUAGGCGCAAGUCAUCAGCUUGCGUCGAUUACGUCCCUGCCCUUUGUACACACCGCCCGUCGCUACUACCGAUUGAACGGUUUAGUGAGGGCCUCGGAUUGGUCUCGGCCCGCUCUUUACCGGGCGGCGCCGUUGGUCGAGAAGACGCUCGAACUUGAUCGUUUAGAGGAAGUAAAAGUCGUAACA
rnacentral:rRNA from 1 species